GUGGGGAAUAUUGGACAAUGGGCGAAAGCCUGAUCCAGCCAUGCCGCGUGUGUGAAGAAGGUCUUCGGAUUGUAAAGCACUUUAAGUUGGGAGGAAGGGCAGUAAGUUAAUACCUUGCUGUUUUGACGUUACUGACAGAAUAAGCACCGGCUAACUUCGUGCCAGCAGCCGCGGUAAUACGAAGGGUGCAAGCGUUAAUCGGAAUUACUGGGCGUAAAGCGCGCGUAGGUGGUUUUGUAAGUUGGAGGUGAAAUCCCCGGGCUCAACCUGGGAACUGCCUCCAAAACUGCAUGACUAGAGUACGGUAGAGGGUAGUGGAAUUUCCUGUGUAGCGGUGAAAUGCGUAGAUAUAGGAAGGAACACCAGUGGCGAAGGCGACUACCUGGACUGAUACUGACACUGAGGUGCGAAAGCGUGGGGAGCAAACAGGAUUAGAUACCCCAGUAGUCC
rnacentral:rRNA from 1 species